rnacentral:rRNA from 1 species
GACGAACGCUGGCGGCGUGCUUAACACAUGCAAGUCGAACGGUAAGGCCCUUCGGGGUACACGAGUGGCGAACGGGUGAGUAACACGUGGGUGAUCUGCCCUGCACUUUGGGAUAAGCCUGGGAAACUGGGUCUAAUACCGGAUAGGAACAUGCGCUUCACGGUGUGUGGUGGAAAGCUUGUGCGGUGUGGGAUGGGCCCGCGGCCGAUCAGCUGGUUGGUGGGGUUAUGGCCUACCAAGGCGACGACGGGUAGCCGGCCUGAGAGGGUGACCGGCCACACUGGGACUGAGAUACGGCCCAGACUCCUACGGGAGGCAGCAGUGGGGAAUAUUGCACAAUGGGCGCAAGCCUGAUGCAGCGACGCCGCGUGAGGGAUGACGGCCUUCGGGUUGUAAACCUCUUUCAGUAGGGACGAAGCGCAAGUGACGGUAGGUGCAGAAGAAGGACCGGCCAACUACGUGCCAGCAGCCGCCGUAA